GACGAACGCUGGCGGCGUGCCUAAUACAUGCAAGUAGAACGCUGAAGAGAGGAGCUUGCUCUUCUUGGAUGAGUUGCGAACGGGUGAGUAACGCGUAGGUAACCUGCCUGGUAGCGGGGGAUAACUAUUGGAAACGAUAGCUAAUACCGCAUAAAAUUGAUUAUUGCAUGAUAAUUAAUUGAAAGAUGCAACUGCAUCACUACCAGAUGGACCUGCGUUGUAUUAGCUAGUUGGUGAGGUAACGGCUCACCAAGGCGACGAUACAUGGCCGACCUGAGAGGGUGAUCGGCCACACUGGGACUGAGACACGGCCCAGACUCCUACGGGAGGCAGCAGUAGGGAAUCUUCGGCAAUGGGGGGAACCCUGACCGAGCAACGCCGCGUGAGUGAAGAAGGUUUUCGGAUCGUAAAGCUCUGUUGUAAGAGAAGAACGGGUGUGAGAGUGGAAAGUUCAUACUGUGACGGUAUCUUACCAGAAAGGGACGGCUAACUACGUG
rnacentral:rRNA from 1 species